UUGAUACGGACGGAUGCAGGUGCUCUUUUUUAUAGGAAAAGAGUUAAAAGGGAAGCUGGUGAAAAUCCAGCGCGGUCCCGCCACUGUAAAAUGGAAGUGAAUCGCCGGUCACCACUGUAGCGUUAAAGCUAUGGGAAGGGGCGAUGAACAAAGCCAUUAAGCCAGGAAACCUGCCUGCAUUCACCACACCAA
rnacentral:ncRNA from 1 species